rnacentral:rRNA from 1 species
AGAGUUUGAUCCUGGCUCAGGACGAACGCUGGCGGCGUGCUUAACACAUGCAAGUCGAACGAGAAUCUGUGGAUCGAGGAUUCGUCCAAGUGAAGCAGAGGACAGUGGCGGACGGGUGAGUAACGCGUGAGGAACCUGCCUUUCAGAGGGGGACAACAGUUGGAAACGACUGCUAAUACCGCAUGAUACGUAUUGGGGGCAUCCCUGAGACGUCAAAGAUUUAUCGCUGAAAGAUGGCCUCGCGUCUGAUUAGCUGGUUGGUGAGGUAACGGCCCACCAAGGCGACGAUCAGUAGCCGGACUGAGAGGUUGACCGGCCACAUUGGGACUGAGAUACGGCCCAGACUCCUACGGGAGGCAGCAGUGGGGAAUAUUGGGCAAUGGGCGCAAGCCUGACCCAGCAACGCCGCGUGAAGGAAGAAGGCUUUCGGGUUGUAAACUUCUUUUAAGAGGGAAGAGCAGAAGACUGUACCUCUAGAAUAAGCCACGGCUAACUACGUGCCAGCAGCCGCGGUAAUACGUAGGUGGCAAGCGUUGUCCGGAUUUACUGGGUGUAAAGGGCGUGCAGCCGGGAAUGCAAGUCAGAUGUGAAAUCCAUGGGCUUAACCCAUGAACUGCAUUUGAAACUGUAUUUCUUGAGUACUGGAGAGGCAAUCGGAAUUCCUAGUGUAGCGGUGAAAUGCGUAGAUAUUAGGAGGAACACCAGUGGCGAAGGCGGAUUGCUGGACAGCAACUGACGGUGAGGCGCGAAAGUGUGGGGAGCAAACAGGAUUAGAUACCCUGGUAGUCCACACUGUAAACGAUGAAUACUAGGUGUGCGGGGACUGACCCCCUGCGUGCCGCAGUUAACACAAUAAGUAUUCCACCUGGGGAGUACGAUCGCAAGGUUGAAACUCAAAGGAAUUGACGGGGGCCCGCACAAGCGGUGGAUUAUGUGGUUUAAUUCGAAGCAACGCGAAGAACCUUACCAGGGU